rnacentral:rRNA from 1 species
AUGAGACUAAAUUGGCGUCGGUCGGUCGAUGUCGGAAAGUCUCGGUCCUUCCUUCCCUCUCGCCUCUCCCUGUACGUCGCGCUCGAUGCGGGCGGGAGUCGCGGUGGCAUCCUCACUGCCUGGGAUCCCAUCCUCUAUUGUAUUUUCUCCUCGCUCGCUUCGGAGUUCUCCCUUACCGUCGUCCUUGAGUCCGUCGCCUCCGCCCACUCCUUUGCGAUCACCAACAUUUACGCCCCCUGUGAUCACUCUCGGACUGGCGAUUUCGUCGCCAAUCUACCUAGGGUUGCCACCUCCAUUUCCGGACCUUGGUUGAUCUUGGGGGACUUCAACCUGAUCCAUUUCCCUCGUGAGAAGAACAAUUCUAACUUUAACGCCCCCUGUGCGGCCGUUUUCAACGGCCUAAUCAACUCGCUCUCAUGGUUCGAACUCCCUCUUUCGGACCAUCUCUUCACAUGGUCGAACAAACGAUCUCCCCCUACCCUGGCUCGGCUCGAUCGGCCUUUCUUCAACAACGAUUGGGAUGUGGCCUUUCCCGAUUCCUCGCUGUGCUCCCGCCCCCGCACCACCUCCGAUCACUUCCCCCUCAUCGUCGUGGCCUCAACGCGCAUCCCGGCCUCCUCCAGGUUUUUCUUCGAGCGCGCCUGGCUCCUCGACCCCCUCUUCCUUCCCUAG